UUUUCAUGAUGAGAAACCAUUCAUCCAGUUCUGCUACUGAACCACUGUGAUGACUCCCAAUAUACCAUACCAAGAUCUCUGAUCU
rnacentral:snoRNA from 1 species